AAGAGACGACUUAAUUUAUGGGUCUAGAAAAUAAACAUGUAAAUACUUGCUUGUUAAUAAUUUUUUCUACCUUAAUUUUUACCUUUAAUAUUUCAGGAUAAUAUUGGACUUAAUUCUCUGGGACACACAAACAUCCUGCAUACGUAUACUGACAACAGACAUUUUAUAUGUAAGUGAACUAUAUGGGUGAGCCUCUGCUUUCUCCCUGUUAGCACUGUUCUUUAAGAAGUUAAGGCUAACCAGGUCUAUAGGUUUUAAUGGGAGAUGUCUUCUAAGUUUUCAAAGACCAGAUGUUCUUGUUAUACUGAUAAAAACUUACUUUAAAAAAAAGGAAUUGAUGAUGUUCAACGUUAUUCACUUUGAACAAAUAUGUCAUUUGUUCAUACUUGGUUUCUCAGUAUUUCAAUACUAACGCAUGUUUUAAUGAUUGGUCUUUAGAGGGGUGAGCACUCCCCUGGAGAUAUAUCACAAUUGGGAAAAAAUAGUUUGAAAAUACAUUAUUUGCCCUUAAAAAAGGAAAUUAACUCCAUGGUGCCUUAAGGUUACAUUUGCAAUCAACUUUUUUACUUCUU